UGAUUGGUGCUUGCAUCAUGAUUUACAUUUGAGUGAGUGGCGAACUGGUGAGUAACACGUGGGAAACCUGCCCAGAAACGGGGGAUAACACCUGGAAACAGAUGCUAAUACCGCAUAACAACUUGGACCGCAUGGUCCGAGCUUGAAAGAUGGCUUCGGCUAUCACUUUUGGAUGGUCCCGCGGCGUAUUAGCUAGAUGGUGGGGUAACGGCUCACCAUGGCAAUGAUACGUAGCCGACCUGAGAGGGUAAUCGGCCACAUUGGGACUGAGACACGGCCCAAACUCCUACGGGAGGCAGCAGUAGGGAAUCUUCCACAAUGGACGAAAGUCUGAUGGAGCAACGCCGCGUGAGUGAAGAAGGGUUUCGGCUCGUAAAACUCUGUUGUUAAAGAAGAACAUAUCUGAGAGUAACUGUUCAGGUAUUGACGGUAUUUAACCAGAAAGCCACGGCUAACUACGUGCCAGCAGCCGCGGUAAUACGUAGGUGGCAAGCGUUGUCCGGAUUUAUUGGGCGUAAAGCGAGCGCAGGCGGUUUUUUAAGUCUGAUGUGAAAGCCUUCGGCUCAACCGAAGAAGUGCAUCGGAAACUGGGAAACUUGAGUGCAGAAGAGGACAGUGGAACUCCAUGUGUAGCGGUGAAAUGCGUAGAUAUAUGGAAGAACACCAGUGGCGAAUGCGGCUGUCUGGUCUGUAACUGACGCUGAGCUCGAAAGUAUGGGUAGCAAACAGGAUUAGAUACCCUGGUAGUCCAUACCGUAAACGAUGAAUGC
rnacentral:rRNA from 2 species